rnacentral:rRNA from 1 species
AUUAGUCUUUUAAUUGAAGGCUAGAAUGAAUGGUUGGACAAGAAAUAAUCUGUCUUAAAUUAAUAUAUUGAAUUUAACUUUUAAGUGAAAAGGCUUAAAUUUUCUAGAGUGACGAUAAGACCCUAUAAAACUUUAUAUUUAAAAAUAAUAAUUAAUUUUAUUUAAGAAUUUUAUUUAAAAAUAUUUUAUUGGGGUGAUAAAGAUAUAAAUUUAAAUAACUGUCUUCUUUUUUUACAAUAAUAUUUGAAUUAAUGAUCCUAAGAAAGGAGUAAAAGAUCAAGUUACUUUAGGGAUAACAGCGUAAUUUUUUUUAAGAGUUCAUAUCGACAAAAAAGUUUGCGACCUCGAUGUUGAAUUAAAAAAUCUUUAUAGAGCAGAAACUAUAAAAGAAGGUCUGUUCGACCUUUAAAAUUUUACAUGAUUUGAGUUCAGACCGGCGUGAG